rnacentral:rRNA from 1 species
GACGAACCGUGCGAACGUUGUUCGGAUUCACUGGGCUUAAAGGGUGCGUAGGCGGGUUCCCCAGUCGGGGGUGAAAUCUUUCGGCCCAACCGGAAAAGGGCCUCCGAUACUGGGAACCUCGAGGGAGAUAGGGGCGCGCGGAACUCAGGGUGGAGCGGUGAAAUGCGUAGAUAUCCUGAGGAACGCCGGUGGCGAAAGCGGCGCGCUGGAUCUCUUCUGACGCUGAGGCACGAAAGCCAGGGGAGCGAACGGG